rnacentral:rRNA from 1 species
GACGUAGGGUGCGAGCGUUGUCCGGAUUUAUUGGGCGUAAAGAGCUCGUAGGCGGCUUGUCGCGUCGACCGUGAAAACUUGGGGCUCAACCCCAAGCCUGCGGUCGAUACGGGCAGGCUAGAGUUCGGUAGGGGAGACUGGAAUUCCUGGUGUAGCGGUGAAAUGCGCAGAUAUCAGGAGGAACACCGGUGGCGAAGGCGGGACUCUGGGCCGAUACUGACGCUGAGGAGCGAAAGCGUGGGGAGCGAACAGG